rnacentral:rRNA from 1 species
UACAGAGGGGGGCAAGCGUUGUUCGGAAUUACUGGGCGUAAAGGGCGCGUAGGCGGCCUUCUAAGUCGAACGAUGAAAUCCCCCGGGCUCAACCCGGGAACUGCGUCCGAUACUGGAAGGCUUGAAUCCGGGAGAGGGAUGUGGAAUUCCAGGUGUAGCGGUGAAAUGCGUAGAUAUCUGGAGGAACACCGGUGGCGAAGGCGACAUCCUGGACCGGUAUUGACGCUGAGGCGCGAAAGCCAGGGGAGCAAAGCGGG